rnacentral:rRNA from 1 species
UGCGUAGGCGGAAAAUUAAGUCAGUGGUGAAAUCCUGCGGCUCAACCGUAGAACUGUCAUUGAUACUGAUUUUCUUGAAUACAGUUGAGGUAGGCGGAAUGUGUAAUGUAGCGGUGAAAUGCUUAGAUAUUACACAGAACACCGAUUGCGAAGGCAGCUUACUAAACUAUGAUUGACGCUGAGGCACGAAAGCGUGGGGAGCGAACAGGAUUAGAUACCCUGGUAGUCC